rnacentral:lncRNA from 12 species
GAUGAAGGAUCCAAGAACUAGAAGUGAACUUCUUAUACAGCCCAGGCCUACAUGCUCAUUUUACAGAUGACAAAACUGAUACCCACAGAGGGCAAUUACCUUGUUCAUGAUCUCAUAGGUAAUUGGGGUCGGGGCUUGGCUGGGCUCCCAGGUCCCCUGACUCCCGUGCUGCUGAUUCUUCUACUUCCACAUCCUAAGGUGUCUCUUGGGUGGUGAGAGCUGUUGAAAGGUGUAGCAGGCUCUUGGGGCUUGGUCUUGGCGAAAAGUGAGACCUCCAGAAAUAUGGAGCAGAUGUUGGAAGGGGUUUUGAAAUUCCAUGGAGUGAUGUGGUCACUCCUUCCCUGUCACCUGUGUGGUCCUGCUGAUCUUCAAAACCUCCAGUUAAAGAGCAAAGGGUGGACCACCGAGCCAGAGGUUCUUCUGAAUUACAGCUAAUCGCACCGAAGAGGAGCGCCGCUCAGCCUUGACCUCAUGGCUCUGCACACACAAGCCUUUCUCCACCAGGCCACUGUUCAGAGCAUCGCUGUGCCUAAUCAGACGUGUCACACCUCCACUGAGAUAUGUGUUACCGCUCAGAACACCAGGAAGUAAGGGGGGUCCAGCAUUGAUCAAGGCUCAUCUUGGACCUCAGCAAACAUGGGCAUGGGGCCUGAGGUGUGGACCCGCUGACGUAUGCAGGGCCCUUGAGAGCCUUCCUCCUUGUCCUGGACCUGUUGGGAGAGCCCUGAGCAGCAGAGCCUGCUGGUGGUGUUUCCAGGCAAAUGGGCCCUUGGGAGACUUGAAUGUUGUCAUCUGGUAAAUAUGGGGUCAGAGCAGAUCCAUCCCUCACAGACAUCAGGUGAACAUCUCUUCAUUCUCCAGGUAAAUUUACCAAAGAGCUCUGCAUGUGGCUUUGGGUACAAGCUCAACUAUUAAUAAAAU